UUAAAUUGAAGAGUUUGAUCAUGGCUCAGAUUGAACGCUGGCGGCAGGCCUAACACAUGCAAGUCGAACGGUAACAGGAAGAAGCUUGCUUCUUUGCUGACGAGUGGCGGACGGGUGAGUAAUGUCUGGGAAACUGCCUGAUGGAGGGGGAUAACUACUGGAAACGGUAGCUAAUACCGCAUA
rnacentral:rRNA from 1 species